UACGUAGGUGGCAAGCGUUGUCCGAAUUUACUGGGUGUAAAGGGCGUGCAGCCGGAGAGGCAAGUCAGAUGUGAAAUCCGCGGGCUCAACCCGCGAACUGCAUUUGAAACUGCUUCCCUUGAGUAUCGGAGAGGUAACCGGAAUUCCUAGUGUAGCGGCGAAAUGCGUAGAUAUUAGGAAGAACACCAGUGGCGAAGGCGGCCUGCUGGACUGUAACUGACGUUGAGGCUCGAAAGCGUGGGGAGCAAACAGG
rnacentral:rRNA from 1 species